rnacentral:rRNA from 1 species
UACCUCCGUGUGUCGUCGUCGACGAGUCACGAGAAGUUUGAUCCUGGCUUAGGAUGAACGCUAGCGGCAGGCCUAACACAUGCAAGUCGAGCGGUAGGGACCUUCGGGUCCUGAGAGCGGCGCACGGGUGCGUAACGCGUAUGCAACCUGCCCUACACCGGGGAAUAGCCCGUCGAAAGGCGGAUUAAUGCCCCAUGGUCCUUACUCCGGGCAUCCGGGGGGAGGUAAAGAUUUAUUGGUGUAGGAUGGGCAUGCGUGCCAUUAGCUGGACAGUGGGGUAACGGCCCACCGUGGCGACGAUGGCUAGGGGUUCUGAGAGGAAGGCCCCCCACACUGGGACUGAGACACGGCCCAGACUCCUACGGGAGGCAGCAGUGAGGAGUAUUGGUCAAUGGGCGGAAGCCUGAACCAGCCCAUGCCGCGUGCGGGAAGAAGGCGCUACGCGUCGUAAACCGCUUUUGUCCGGGGGUAACCGUGGGGACGUGUCCCCACCUGCAAGUACCGGACGAAUAGGGGUCGGCUAACUCCGUGCCAGCAGCCGC